rnacentral:rRNA from 1 species
UACGGAGGGUGCAAGCGUUGUCCGGAAUCACUGGGCGUAAAGGGCGCGUAGGCGGCUCAUGAAGGCUGUGGUGAAAGUCCGGGGCUCAACCUCGGAUCGGCCGUGGCGACUCGUGGGCUGGAGCACUGUAGAGGCAGGCGGAAUUCCGGGUGUAGCGGUGGAAUGCGUAGAGAUCCGGAAGAACACCAGUGGCGAAGGCGGCCCGCUGGGCAGUGGCUGACGCUGAAGCGCGACAGCGUGGGGAGCAAACAGG